rnacentral:misc_RNA from 1 species
UGCAUAUUUUCUCUAUUGCUAAAAAAUUGAAUCCGCAGAAGGCUUAAAUAUUCUAAUGGAAUUGCUGCAAGAAGAAGAAUCCACAAGAAGGUAAAUUCAUAUCAGGUUAAGAUAAUUAGAUUACAUUACAGGGCUAAUUGCUACAUUUAAAUAAUACAUGCUCCUCUUCUACUGAGGUCACAUCUCCAGUAACAGAAACCCAUGUUUCUGCAAUUUUAUCCACUCUCCCUUCAAGAAUCUCAACCAAAGUAAAUGCGCGCCUUGUACCUUUGGACUCUGGUGUCAACUGUGAGGUUUCGCUAUUCAUGAAGCUUCUAUUGGGAGCUCGUUGAUCGUCAUUGAUUCUUUUAACUCUGGGAACAAUUGCCCCAUUCAGGUAUAUAGUAUUGUCAGUGCUGACCACAAUCAUUUUUCGAAGACCAUUUCCAUAAGCUAGCUCUUUAUGCAUGUGACCAAACACAACCAGAGGAAUAUUCAGUUUGGUCGUCUCUUUUAAGUGGGCAAUUGCUUGUGCUAGAUCAGGAUCACCAUGAUCACCACCUCCAAACACCCAAUCUUUUCCACAUAUGUCAUUCAAAUUAGAACCAAGACCUGGAAAAAGCAAGACCAGACUGGAUUUCAAUAAAAGAGAUCAAUUUGUCUUGAAUGACUGGUUGGUAAGUAAUUUCGGCCAGCUGAUACACCUGUGGGCCCAUUAUGUGCAAGAAAUAUAACUAGAUGGUUUUCUGGAGUGCGUGAAGCAGUAUUAUAGAUUCUCAUGGCACUUCCUUCCAUGUCUUGGACUCCAUAUCUGUGAGAAUAUUGCAAUUUAAAAAGUUUCAGCAUGUACAAUAAGAUCAAGCAACAGUCAACAGGAAAAUGAUUAGUAGAAGAAGAAAAAAGGGAAGUGCGAAUUCACAUCAUCCUAUGUCAUUUGCACAUUGAUACUUGUCUCACUUUGGUUAUAUAUCCAUAAGGUCACCCCAGCUAGCUCCUGUCUUAAAAAAUCCCAUUGCUAUUAAUUGCAUACGUUAAAUUGAGGCAGUCAUUUUUGGUUCUUUUACCAAAGAAAAACAUAAUACCUUGCAAGACAAUCGACAAUAUGAAGAACAGACACAUGAAAGAUUCCCAAGCCUUAUUUUCAUAUUUUUAGGUUUUUUAGUUUGUACAAGUAAACUUGAAAAUGCCACAAGAAAUAAUAAAAGAGAAGAAUAACUAUAGGAUUUGCUUCAAACAAUACAAACCUCUCAGAAAGAAGCCUUUUCCGGAACAACUGGUCACCACCACAAGAAAAUGGCCGUCCACCAACAACACUAAGUUUUAAAGUAGGGAAAUCCAGAUGCCUGUAACCUACAUGCUCUUCGCCAAGACUGGUUGUUUCCAGAAAGGUAUUUUCAUUCAGCAGUUGAAUUUCUUCAGAGCUCAGUUCAUGCAUGAUGUGCAAUGUGCUGAAGGACAUACAUUAAAGGCAUCCGAUGUCUUUUUGUAACUUUAUUACAUUACAUGCAUGGCAUUCCCAAUGCCAAAAAUCAUACGAAAGGAAAAGUCAUAGAUGAGCAUAAUCCAGGAGGUUAUGCAUAUGUACAGUAUCCCCUUUUCUUUUGUGUUUACAUUCCUUUUGAUUUUUCAUAAAGGAAAGGAAUUGAGAAAUUAUUCAAAAUUACGUAUGAAAAGCUACAUUCAGUACAUCAAAUAAUUCUGUCCAAUGGGCUAACAAUUCACAAAUAUUAUAAAACCUUUCCAAGUCUAUUCAAUCCCCUUGAUUUUUUCAGAGAAUAAUAGGGCUUUCCAGCAAGAAGUAAAAUGAUGAUUGCAAAACUUGGGGCUACAUGCAUGGCUUACUCCUUAUCUUAACUUUGUUUUAUUUUUAAUAAUCUUUCAAAAGGGAACUUAUUAUGGGAAUGAGGUAAUAAUUAUAAGAAGGAAAAUGAACCUAGUACUACAUUAUAUCUUUAAAUUCAUUGUUGGUCCAAUCAAGUAUUUAUCCAUGUCUCUUUCAUCAUAAAUCAGCAAUACGCAGAAAGUCUAAUGCAAUCUCUGUUUUCAAAGACAUGAUUUGUGACAACACUACAGAAGAGAGCCAUCACAUGUACGCUUCCUACAUUAUCCAGUCGUUCUUCACAAAUUCAGUCUUUCACCAUCUAUGUAAGAAGCAAAUUAGGAUGUGAUAAUAAAGGAACCAGACCCCUAUAUGCGUGCUUAAUGCUGACAUUGUCGAACAAAACUGAAGAAUAAGAGAUUUUAAGAUCAUCAAAAUAGGAGUAACAUCAACAUAUUUUCAAAUUGUAAAACAUUUAACCAAUGAAAAUGAAGACAUAAAAGGCAUCUUCCCAAAAUCUGGCAUGCUCAGAGAUAAGGUACGCUCACCAUUCCAGUUGAAGUUGAACACCAUCCUUCAUCUUUUGUGAGAACUUUUGAGUAUACCAGGAAUCAUGAUUUCCCAAAAUAACUGCCUUAGGAAAUUUAAGAUCUGCAACACUUUGAACAAGGUCCACAUUUUCAUUACCAAAAUCACCUGUAAACAGCACCAAAUCCGGCUGCAUUGCCAUACAACACAUAUUGAGUUGUUAGAGGAUAUGUAUGUUCAAGAUUAGUGGAAAUGCUUCUGAAAAGCUAAAAGAAAAUUGAACAAACAAAUAAGAAAAUAAAUAGCUCAAGGAAAUUUGGAUGCAAAUAAACUAUUGUGAAUGUCUAGUUCUAGCUAGAUUUUCUUUUGAGACAGUGCAAGUGAAUGGACACAUGUACACACACUCACAUUUGAUCGCACUCUCACAUUCACUCUCUUACACACGUACACACACUCACACCUAAUUGUUUCUCACCUUCUUCUUGCACGCACACCUACACAACACAAGCUAACACAUAUUUAUACGUGCUCUAGGUCGGUGAAAUCUCCAGAUGCUUCUCACAUGCCUGUGAUAAAGAUAUCUCCAAAGUCGGUGGUGAAGCUUCAUGAAUGUCGGUUAUUCUUGAUGACCAAGGAAAGAGAUGAUUCUAGAUUAAUGUAGAGAAAUAGAAAGUCGGCGAUGAUUUUCUUCAAUAUUCUUCCCAUCAAGUUUUUAGGGUUUGUCCUCAACUCUUCAUAUAUUCUUUCUGAAAGCAUUGUUCAGUAACUUCCACAGUAGGAUCAUACCUAUCAGAUAUGUGGAUGACACAGGUAUCUAAGAGUACAAAACAGAGUCGAACUGAAAUGAACUGAUGAGUCACCCACAUACCAUAACCACAAAAAGCCAAGAGAAUUGGAGUGGAACCACAAAGAAACACGGGUACCUAACUUAAAAUCCUCAAGAAUUCUUCAUGUGCACAUAUAUAUAUAUAUCCUUGUGAAGAACAUUACAUGAACCAAUAUAAUAACCGUCACUUACAAGUUCUUCACAAAUGACAGGUCAGAGAACUAUUUCUCUUUCUUGGCUACCAUAUGAGAAAACCCAAAGUUCCUUUUCUAGCAGUCAAGACUCCUAUCUGUAUUUUGCUCUUGCUGAUUUCAGUUAUUGUAGAAUAAAAGAGUCUGCUGCCAACCUUAGAAACCUCUAGUUUUUAUCUUUUGGACUGCCAACUUUUCUCCAAGACCUAGCUAAAUAACUAAACACUUUUCUUCUAUCAGUAUUUCUAAAUUUCCAUAUAUCAUUCACACAGUACCCUAAAUUGCUCUUGUUUAUCAUUGCAAAGCCCGCAAUUUCUUCAAGAUAUAAUCCAAUGUAAAGGAAAGUAAACAAAUAAAAAUCUAAUAGAAUAAUGAACUCAAUAUUCAUUCCAUUACAUUCAAUUCUGUAAAGCAAGCAUGCACUAAAAAAAGAUAAAGUUAUUUUCUACUCAAUUAGCAAGAAGAAAGUUAUAAUUUUUAGUUAUUAAAUCCCUACAUUGGCUGUGGGCUUAAUUACAGUGACAUAAAUUAGAAAUUCAAAAGCAAAAAACUAAUAGUAAAAAAGACCAUGAAAAUUAAGCAUAAUAAGUACUAAUGAUGAUGAAAAAAAGAAACAAAGAAAUGAAAUUUACCUGCAAAAGUUCAAGUGCUUUUGUAUCUUCCUCUAGAUUCCAAUCAUCAUGCUUCGAAAACCCCAAAAAAAAUUUUAAAAAAAAUAAAAAAACAAAAUUUUUCCAAAAAAUGUAAUAACCGUACAAUUACAACCCUAGAUUAAUCAAAUAAUAAGCUAUAUAAGCGAACGCAAAGCUAGGGUUUCUAAAUUAAAAGGAAAUACAAGCUUGGAAGGGCAAACAAAUACUAGAGAGACAGAGAGAGAGAGAGA